GACGAACGCUGGCGGCGUGCCUAAUACAUGCAAGUCGAGCGAAGUCAUAUAGCGGAAGUCUUCGGACGGAAGGUAUAUGUACUUAGCGGCGGACGGGUGAGUAACACGUAGGCAACCUGCCCGUAAGACGGGGAUAACUAGCGGAAACGUUAGCUAAUACCGGAUAGACCGCUUUGGUGCAUGCGAGAGAGGGGAAAGGCGGAGCAAUCUGCCGCCUAAGGAUGGGGCGGCGGCGCAUUAGCUAGUUGGAGAGGUAACGGCUCCCCAAGGCAACGAUGCGUAGCCGACCUGAGAGGGUGAACGGCCACACUGGGACUGAGACACGGCCCAGGCUCCUACGGGAGGCAGCAGUAGGGAAUCCUCGGCAAUGGACGGAAGUCUGACCGAGCAACGCCGCGUGAGUGAGGAAGGUUUUCGGAUCGUAAAGCUCUGUUGCCAGGGAAGAAGGGUAAGGAGAGUCACUGCUCUUUACUUGACGGUACCUGAGAAGAAAGCCCCGGCUAACUACGUGCCAGCCGCCGCGGUAA
rnacentral:rRNA from 1 species